GUGACCCCCAGGCCCCUGAAGCGGAGCACAUGAACUUAACCGUUAUGCCAGGGGGCUGGCCCCAUGAUCUGUACACUUUUAACAGAUAUAUGUAUAUCCUUGAAAAGCAUACAAUGUUAUUUUGGCUUUUUAAAAAUGUACAUUAAUGGCCUUGUGCUAUACACCUUAGCCUGCUCUUCUUCUCCCACUUAGCAUAUUUCUAAGCUCUCCCAGGCUGCUAUACGUAAAUCUACUUCACUGUUUCUGACUGCUGUGUAAUAUUCCAUUGUGUGCAUACAGCACAUUUUAUUUAUAUAUUCCUCUAGUAAUAGAUGCUUGGGUUGCCUCCAACUUCUCACUACCACCAGCAGCGCUGUGAUGAAUGCCUUCAUAUGGGCCUCCUUAGCACCCAGGAGUUUCCUUGGCUGUAUACCUAGGAGUGGGAUUGCUGGGUCGGAGGGUGUGCUUACUUAAUUCCACUAAGAUUGUGCUUCAGGAUGGCGGCCUCAGCUACAUGCUCACCAGCAAUGCACGAUAGUGGGUAACUUCUCAUUUAAUUCUCAUACUGAUUCAGUAAGGUAAGUAUUAUUGUUCCCAUUUUGUGGAUAAGGAAAUUGAGGCUUAGAGAGAUUAAGCAAAUUAUCUAAGUUUAUAUAGUCAAGUGGAAGAGGCAGGGCUCCAAUCCAGAAUUUUUGAUAUAAUGUUUUUUGCUCUUACCACCGUAGUACCUGGUACCGCCUCUUCCAGAAACAAGAUGCGGCAUCCACAGGCAAAGACACUAUUCUUCUUCUUUGUGCUAUCUUCCUCUCCUAAUUAUUGCCUCCCUUCAGGUUGGCUGGACAGAAGACACAAUUCUUGAGGUUCAAGGAACUGCUAAAGGAGAACUGUGGCCCCCACUAGUCUGUGAGUCUAGUGAACUGGAAUGUUGACACGUUAUGAUAAGUGGUGAGUGGGGUGAGCACAGGUGCUCCGAGAGUGCACAGAGAGGGCACCAUCCAGCGGAAGAGUCAGGGAAGGCUUCCCGGGGAAGCAAUUUCUGAUCUGGGUAUUGAAGAUAAGUGGGAGUUAGCUGAGUGAAGGGGGCCAGAGAGCAUUAGAGGAAGGAGACAGGGUGAGUCCAGAACUGUGCAGCUGGAGCAGGAACUGGGAAGGAGGCGAGGCUAGAGGAUUAAUCACGGGUCAGAUUAUGAAGAAAGGAAGCCCUGGCAAAAGAGUUUAGGUUUUAUGCUGAGGGCGAUGGGGGGCCACUGAAGGGUGUAAAGCCGGUUGGGGGAGGGGGACGACAUACAACUCCAUCAGAAUUAUAGUGUAGAGGGAUUCCACGAGUUAAGAAUUGACUUCUUAUCUAUCUUGCCUGCUUGUGGGUAAAUCAUAGUGUUGGAACUGGUGAGUGGCAAAUAAAGGAGUCUAGACAGACUCGUAGAGGGAAGGCCUGACCCGAUAACCCGAGGGUUCCUUUUGAUAAUCUAUAGAGAAGACUUCAAUUUGGACUUCAUCUUUCUGUCUUUCAAAACCUCUGACAUUUCCUGAAAUGCUCUCAAAACCAGAGCCUCAGUGGAGAGAAGAGUGUGUGGCUGCUUUCCCUGUUCCCCACUACUCGUUCCAGGGCGAGGCUGCGAAUUGUUCAUCUGAAGCCCUGCUCCCCGUGAGGAGGGGACCAUUUGCAUAGCAGCAGGGGGGUCGGGGAAGGAGGAACCGCAUGCUGGGCUCGUUCAUUAAGAAAAUAUAUUUGGCAUAUUUAGACAAUGGUUUGAGCGAGUUAAAAAUAACUCCUCGUGAAAAAUUAAUAGGGAGCUAUAAGUGAGUGUUUUAAUACAAACUCACAGAGCAGGGCAUGUUCUCCAGGCCGCUGGUGGUUGACAUCACAGAUGGUGCAUGGUGUUUAUAGAGCAUGGUGUGGCCAGCGAGGAGAGUUGUCUGUAGAAGAGAGCUCGCCUUCUCUCCCAGAACCCUGGGGAGAGAGGAGACAGGAGGCCUUGGUUUGGGUUGUGAGCUACUGAGCUGGGUGACUUAUUUCUUCUCUCCCUACCCAUCACACUCUCCUAACAGUGGACAUAAAAAUUGUAGUGAAUUUUGCCUGGUUGCUUUGGGUGAGGUUUAUUGAGUGUCAGAAUUCAUAAAAAGUCCUUUCUGGUUCUUUCCCUUUCUUAGUAAUGGACCCCCAGUUGGCUGCUGCAUCCAUUUCUCCAGUGUUUCCUUACCCAGCAGCAAGUUGUUCUCACUCUUGCAGCUUAAUUAGUACAUGAAGCUACAUGAGUUGGACGAACCCAAAUGGGAUUAUGUCAUGUGACAUAGAGAUGAAGAGAAGGAAACAAAGCCUGCCUUCUGACACUUACCUUCCUUUAAUAAAACACCUAGAUUCAAAUACCAAAGUUAAUCCUUUCACAAUGGGGACAUCAUGGGAUUCCUUUCACAAUGCAUAUAUCAAAUCACCAUGAUGUACACUUUAAAUGUCUUACAAUUUUAUAUGUCAAUUAUACCUCAA